GUGCCAGCAGCCGCGGUAAUACGUAGGUGGCAAGCGUUGUCCGGAUUUACUGGGCGUAAAGGAUGCGUAGGCGGACUUUUAAGUGGGAUGUGAAAUUCCGAGGCUCAACCUCGGCGCUGCAUUCCAAACUGGAAGUCUAGAGUGCGGGAGAGGAAAGUGGAAUUCCUAGUGUAGCGGUGAAAUGCGUAGAGAUUAGGAAGAACACCAGUGGCGAAGGCGACUUUCUGGACCGUAACUGACGCUGAUGCAUGAAAGCGUGGGGAGCAAACAGGAUUAGAAACCCUGGUAGUCC
rnacentral:rRNA from 1 species